CACCUAAUGACGAUAUUAUGUUUCGCUGACGUUUAUCCUCGGCGAAAAUUAGUUUAGUUCUUCUUAGUUUGAUUGGCCGAGGCUGGAGGCGAGCUGUUCUUAAUAUAUAAUGCAUUAAAAUUUAUAUAUUUUUUGACCUUGAAUUUCAGGCAUUUUCUCAGCAUUGACGUCUGUUUAAUGACCUUCUCAGACGAAUAUAAAGUAAAAUGUUUGUCUUUCAUAGUCAUUACAGCAUUUUUGUUAUAUAUAUUUCACCUUCAAGUAAGUCCAUAUUUUCCUUUGAGAACACCUGAAAUUAUCUUCAUUGUUCCUGAAAAUCCAGAACCUGUAGAGAAAUAUUUAAUAAUGUUUGAUGCUGGAAGUAGUGGUACACGAAUUCACGUUUAUCUAUUUUCUUUAAAUGCGAAUGGUACGCUGACACUCAAAGGUGAAUUUUAUGACAAAAUCAUGAAAAGCUUGUCCAGUUUUACUAAACGCCCUAACAAAGCAUCGCAUGUUAUAACUGAUUUAUUGAAAGAAGCUCAUGUAAUUAUACCGAAAGAAAAAUGGAACACUACUCUAGUUGCUUUGAAAGCCACUGCAGGGUUUAGAUCUUUGCCUGUUAACGUAUCAACUUCAAUUUUAGAUGAGGUGCAGAAAACUGUAGAAAAUUCUUCAUUUUCAUGUGCUGAGGAAUGUGUUUCUGUGUUAUCAGGCGAGGAUGAAGGUAUCUAUGGAUGGUACACAUUGAACUUCUUACUUGGUGCAAUUGAGAAAGAGAACAAUUCAGUUGCAUUAUUGGCUGUUGGAGGAGGGUCUCUUCAAUUAUCUUUUUCACCAGCUGAUACAGAUUCAAUUUCGCUGAAUACUGAAGACUAUAAGAUCUUACCUAAAGUGCACUUUAGUCCCGUACCUAUCUAUAGUCGCAGUUAUUUAGGAUUUGGAACAACGUCUGCAAAGCUGUCAAUACUAGAAAUUCCAUCAAAUAAUUCAGUUGUGUCUAAAAGAAAAAAGAACUCUAAAGACCUUAUCGAACUUUCUACGCCAUGUGUACAUCCGUUGGAGAAAAUUACUUAUAGAUAUAACUCAGAAAUAUAUAGAAUUAGAGGAGAUCGACAUGGGAAGUAUGGUUACAAGUAUUGCUAUAAAAAAGCUGUUGAUUUUUUGGGCGAUACAGUUAGUGUGCCUGAAGAGCUAAGGAAUCGUGAAAUCUACGCCGUUUCAGCACAUUUUAUCGACGCUAUUGCCUCAACGCUAUUGAUGAACCAAGCGGCAGUUUUACUGUAGGUGAAUUUGUGAGUUCAUGUAGGUUCUUAUGUGAACUACCCUUAAGAACAUUUGGAUGCCUGGAAUGUUGCUAUAUUGCAGCAUUAUUGCAACAUUCUAUCGGGCUUAGCAGCGAAAAGGAGAUAAAGUUCGCAACUCAGAUUAGUGGAGUUUCAACCAGCUGGAGUUUAGGUGCAGCUCUCAACAUGCUUUGACUGUUCCGGUUUUACUCAAAUUAGGAAAUUUUUCGGAGAGAAUCUUAAGAAUUCUAAUAUUCAUAAAACAAGAUUUUCAAUAAAAUGUAUACUAAUGUAUGCUAAUAAAAUACAGUUGUUUUAAAA
rnacentral:misc_RNA from 1 species